GACGAACGCUGGCGGCGUGCCUAAUACAUGCAAGUCGAACGCAUUUUCUUUCACCGUUGUUUGCUACACCGAAAGAAAAUGAGUGGCGAACGGGUGAGUAACACAUGGGUAACCUGCCAAUCAGCGGGGGAUAACACAAGGAAACAGGUGCUAAUACCGCAUAAUUCCAUUUACUGCAUGGUUGAUGGAUGUAAGGCGCUUUUGCGUCACUGAUGGAUGGACCCGCGGUGCAUUUGGCAGUUGGGUGGGUAAACGGCUACCAAGGCUGAGGUGCAUAGCCGGGCUUGGGAGGACGACCGGCCACACUGGGACUGAGAACCGGCCCAGACCCCUCGGGGGGGAGCAGUAGGGAAACUUUGGAAAUUGACGCCAGUCUGGACGAAGAACGCCGGGUGGGGGGAGAAGGGUUUCGGAUCGGAAAACUCUGUUGUUAGAAAAGAACAAGGAUGGGAGUGGAAAGCUCAGCCCUUGACGGUAUCUAAACAGAAAGCCACGGCUAACUACGUG
rnacentral:rRNA from 1 species